rnacentral:rRNA from 1 species
GAUGAACGCUGGCGGCGUGCCUAAUACAUGCAAGUCGAGCGAACAGACGAGGAGCUUGCUUCUCUGACGUUAGCGGCGGACGGGUGAGUAACACGUGGAUAACCUACCUAUAAGACUGGGAUAACUUCGGGAAACCGGAGCUAAUACCGGAUAAUAUUUUGAACCGCAUGGUUCAAUAGUGAAAGACGGUUUUGCUGUCACUUAUAGAUGGAUCCGCGCCGCAUUAGCUAGUUGGUAAGGUAACGGCUUACCAAGGCAACGAUGCCUAGCCGACCUGAGAGGGGGGUCGGCCCCACUUGAACUGGAACCCCGUCCCGGCUCCUAAGGGAGGGCACCGUAGGGAAUCUUUCGCAAUGGGCGGAAGCCUGGCCGAGCCAAGCCCGGUUGGUGAAGGAGGUUUUCCGAUCCUAAAAAUCUGUUAUUAGGGAAAAACAAAUUUGUAAGUAAAUAUGCACGACUUGACGGUACCUAAUCAAAAAGCCACGGCUAACUACGUG